rnacentral:rRNA from 1 species
CGCAAGGGUGCGUAACGCGUAAGUAACUUGCCCCAAGGUAAGGAAUAACGUCGAGAAAUCGGCGCUAAUACCUCAUAAUGCAGCGGAUCCGCAUGGAUAUGUUGUUAAGGUUACCGCCUUGGGAUAGGCUUGCGUCUGAUUAGCUAGUUGGUGUGGUAAUGGCACACCAAGGCUACGAUCAGUAACUGGUCUGAGAGGAUGAUCAGUCACACUGGAACUGAGACACGGUCCAGACUCCUACGGGAGGCAGCAGUGAGGAAUAUUGGGCAAUGCACGAAAGUGUGACCCAGCAACGCCGCGUGGAGGAUGAAGGUAUUCUAUAUCGUAAACUCCUGUGAGAGCAGACGAAAGACAGAUUAUUAAUUUGGAUGACUGUAUGCUCAGAGGAAGCCCCGGCUAACUACGUG